rnacentral:rRNA from 2 species
AGGAUUCCCCUAGUAACUGCGAGUGAAGCGGGAAAAGCUCAAAUUUAAAAUCUGGUAGUCUUUGGCUGCCCGAGUUGUAAUCUAGAGAAGCAUUAUCUGCGUUGGACCGUGUACAAGUGUCCUGGAAUGGACCAUCAUAGAGGGUGAGAAUCCCGUCUUUGACACGGACUCCCAAGGCUUUGUGAUGUGCUCUCAAAGAGUCGAGUUGUUUGGGAAUGCAGCUCUAAAUGGGUGGUAAAUUCCAUCUAAAGCUAAAUAUUGGCGAGAGACCGAUAGCGAACAAGUACCGUGAGGGAAAGAUGAAAAGAACUUUGGAAAGAGAGUUAAACAGUACGUGAAAUUGCUGAAAGGGAAACGCUUGAAGUCAGUCGCGUUGGCUGGGGAUCAACCUUGCUCUUCUUGCUUGGCUUACUUCCCAGUUGACGGGUCAGCAUCAGUUUUGACCGGUGGACAAAGGUUAAGGGAAUGUGGCACCUUCUGGUGUGUUAUAGCCCUUGGUCAUAUACAUUGGUUGG